rnacentral:lncRNA from 1 species
UUACCUUUCUAUUCUCUCCUCUCACCCUCUCUCUAUCCUUUCACCGACUAUGAGAGGCCUCACAAGACGAGGAUCAAGCUAGCGCGCCGCAAGCCCACAACAGCGCUACAAGCUCGGUGACUGGUUGCUGACUUGUGGUGCAAGCACGAUGACUUGUUGCUUUCGGGCGCUAUUGUUUCUCAUCUUCUCCAGUCCUUCUCUCGAGAUUCGUCGCACGCAACAGUCCUACAUGCUAUUUUUUCAAUGACGACUCACUCAAUUUCUCUUUAUCCUAUGACACUUCUCUCUCUAGUGACUACUCUCCAACGCCACUCGGCACCACUAUGGGUAGGUAGUUUUCUGAUUUGUGGUGGGUGGUUUUUGUGGGUGUGGUAGUGUUGGAAGAAAUGGUGGAUUUUAACAGGCAGCGAUGGUGGUUGUGCAGUAGUCGACUGGAGUUACAGGUAGUGGUGGUGGGUGGUUGUUGGAGCAGGCGGUUGUGAGGGUGGCAAUGGAGAUGUGUGUGGUGGUGUUGCUAU